CAAGAGAAUACAAAGGAUAUUAUAAAAAAAAACAAACAUAAACGGAAACUGUAUAAUAAAUUAUAAAUAAGGAAGUCUGGUAGCCGUCGUCCUUACGUUAAUGAACUACUUUUUUGUUAAAAUUUAAAAGACCAUAAAAGGUCGUACAUAAAAUAUUUUUAUAAACGCACAUAAGAAAUACAAAAAUUUAUGAAAUUUCUAAAAACAGCAAAAAAUUAAGUUGGAUCAAACCAAUGGUUUGUAAAGUAAUACUUUUCCCUUCACUUACAAAUAGUACUUUUAAAAACACGCUAUAUACCACAAUACUACGUAAUUCAAAUUACUUUCAUUCAUCACCAAAAUAUGUCAAAGAUUGCAUACAUUAUUUGUGCCAAUACGAGGCACAAAAAAACAUUUGAAGGAAGCGUUAAUUUCAUUCGCUAACUUCGGUAAAAAAAUUUUAUUCCAGUAAAAUUAAUUAUAAAUUAUAUCUAAAAGCUGCUAAAAUUUGAGAGUUUUACAACCUGCAGUCUAGAAGAAAAACGAUGUCAACAAUUUGAAACUGACGGAUUUUAGAUAAUGGUCUUUGAGGGGCUAUAACUCUUUGGAGGGAGGAGGAGAUUGGUCAAAUUUUUUUCUACGGAAAUAAGUUUCUAGUAAAGAUCUAUGAACAUGUGCAAUUUCAGCUUUCUAUCUUAAAGGGUGAAGAGGUACUGU